rfam:Solirubrobacterales bacterium 70-9 SCNpilot_bf_inoc_scaffold_5360, whole genome shotgun sequence.
GGGGGAGUGCCCGAGUGGUUAAAGGGGACUGGCUGUAAACCAGUUGGCUAUGCCUACAGAGGUUCGAAUCCUCUCUCCCCCA